rnacentral:rRNA from 1 species
GUGCCAGCAGCCGCGGUAAUACGUAGGGUGCGAGCGUUAAUCGGAAUUACUGGGCGUAAAGCGUGCGCAGGCGGUUCGUUGUGUCUGCUGUGAAAUCCCCGGGCUCAACCUGGGAAUGGCAGUGGAAACUGGCGAGCUUGAGUGUGGCAGAGGGGGGUGGAAUUCCGCGUGUAGCAGUGAAAUGCGUAGAGAUGCGGAGGAACACCGAUGGCGAAGGCAACCCCCUGGGCUAACACUGACGCUCAGGCACGAAAGCGUGGGGAGCAAACAGGAUUAGAUACCCGGGUAGUCC